ACCAUGAACAAGCGUUUGUACACUGAGGCCUGGGAUAAAGACAAGACACAAAUCCACAUCAUGCCUGACACGCCUGAAAUCACCCUGGCAAGGGAGAACAAGAAAAACUACAGUCUGAAACAAUACAGACAGGCCAUGGAAGAUUCAAAGAAGAAAGGCUAUGAUUUGAGAGCUGAUGCCAUCCCCAUCCAAGCAGCCAAAGCAUCCAGACAAAUUGCCAGUGAUUACAAGUACAAGGAAGGGUAU